rnacentral:rRNA from 1 species
UACGGAGGGGGCUAGCGUUGUUCGGAAUUACUGGGCGUAAAGCGCACGUAGGCGGCUUUGUAAGUUAGAGGUGAAAGCCCAGGGCUUAACCCUGGAAUUGCCUUUAAGACUGCAUCGCUAGAAUUGUGGAGAGGUAAGUGGAAUUCCCAGUGUAGAGGUGAAAUUCGUAGAUAUUGGGAAGAACACCGGUGGCGAAGGCGGCUCACUGGCUCGUUUCUGACGCUCAGGCGCGACAGCGUGGGGAUCAAACAGG